rnacentral:rRNA from 1 species
AUUGAACGCUGGCGGCAGGCCUAACACAUGCAAGUCGAGCGGAUGAAGGGAGCUUGCUCCUGGAUUCAGCGGCGGACGGGUGAGUAAUGCCUAGGAAUCUGCCUGGUAGUGGGGGAUAACGUCCGGAAACGGGCGCUAAUACCGCAUACGUCCUGAGGGAGAAAGUGGGGGAUCUUCGGACCUUACGCUAUCAGAUGAGCCUAGGUCGGAUUAGCUAGUUUGUGGGGUAAAGGCCUACCAAGGCGACGAUCCGUAACUGGUCUGAGAGGAUGAUCAGUCACACUGGAACCGAGACACGGUCCAGACUCCUACGGGAGGCAGCAGUGGGGAAUAUUGGACAAUGGGCGAAAGCCUGAUCCAGCCAUGCCGCGUGUGUGAAGAAGGUCUUCGGAUUGUAAAGCACUUUAAGUUGGGAGGAAGGGCAGUAAGUUAAUACCUUGCUGUUUUGACGUUACCAACAGAAUAAGCACCGGCUAACUUCGUG